rnacentral:rRNA from 1 species
UACGUAGGGGGCAAGCGUUACCCGGAUUCACUGGGCGAAAAGCGGGUGUGGGCGGCUCGGUAAGUCGGGUGUGAAAUCCCACGGCUCAACCGUGGAAUUGCGCCCGAAACUGCUGAGCUUGGGGCCGGUAGAGGGAGACGGAACUGCCGGUGUAGGGGUGAAAUCCGUAGAUAUCGGCAGGAACGCCGGUGGGGAAGCCGGUCUCCUGGGCCGCGCCCGACGCUGAGGCCCGAAAGCUAGGGGAGCAAACCGG